CCUAGAAAAAAUCUAGGGUGUAACCUGCCCAAUGGACUCCAACAAAAUUAUAAACAAUCCUAAAGAGACUUAAAGGACGCAGUAAUCUGACUGUGAUAAAGUAGCAUAAUCAUUCGCCAUUUAAUUGAUGGAUAGCAUGAAUGGUUGAACGAAUCCUUCACUGUCUAAAAAAGAGAAGUCAUGAAAUUAAAAUAAUAGUUAAGAUACUAUUUAAAAUUGUAAGACGAAAAGACCCUAUAGAGCUUAACUAUAUCUUUUUUAAAAGGACUCUUCCUUAAACAAAAAAGAUGGUAGUUUAGUUGGGGCAACUGCCUUUUAAAAACAACAAAGGUAAGCUAUGUUAACAAGAAACUUAUUGUAUAACCCAUUAGUUUAACAAUUACUACAGUAGGCUAUAAUGACCCGUUUAUUCAUAGUAACCAGGUAAACGCUCAAUAAAUAAAAGUUACCUUAGGGAUAACAGGAUAAUCUCGUCUUAGAGAUCUUAUCUAAGAUAAGGUUUAUCACCUCUAUGUUGAAUUAAGAUAUCCCGGCUGAGCAAAAACCGCCAAUGGUAGGUCUGUUCGACCUUUAAAAU
rnacentral:rRNA from 1 species